AUACGUAGGGAGCGAGCGUUGUCCGGAAUUACUGGGUGUAAAGGGAGCGUAGGCGGGAGUGCAAGUCAGAUGUGAAAUACAUGGGCUCAACCCAUGGGCUGCAUUUGAAACUGCAUUUCUUGAGUGAAGUAGAGGUAAGCGGAAUUCCUGGUGUAGCGGUGAAAUGCGUAGAUAUCAGGAGGAACACCGGUGGCGAGGGCGGCUUACUGGGCUUUUACUGACGCUGAGGCUCGAAAGCGUGGGGAGCAAACAGGAUUAGAUACCCUGGUAGUCCACGCUGUAAACGAUGAUUACUAGGUGUGGGGGGACUGACCCCUUCCGUGCCGCAGUUAACACAAUAAGUAAUCCACCUGGGGAGUACGGCCGCAAGGUUGAAACUCAAAUGAAUUGACGGGG
rnacentral:rRNA from 1 species